rnacentral:ribozyme from 1 species
UGCCCAGCAACUCCUAUCCCUACCUCCUCGUGGUACUGGCCGGGGUACGAGUAACCUUGGGGAAGAUCGGGUAACCAACCCCCGGUGGGAACUUUGGUCGUAUGCUGACAGGGAGGG